UGCAUCGGCCGGGAAUCGAACCCGGGCUGCCCGCGUUGCGGGCGAGCAUUCUACCACUGAACCACCGAUGC
rnacentral:tRNA from 1 species